ACUUUACCCAGGAGCCAUUUUGAAACAUUGUCGCACCAAGAAGAAAGAAAGUCUAUGCAGAGGAGGGGAGGAAGAGGCACUGCCUUUAAAAUAAUUAAGAGAAAGAGAAGAGGGGUGCCCUGCCUCUAAAAUGAGUGUCUCUGGUGACCAUCACAUCAAGGCUAAGAGGUCUAUGCAGUGGAGGGGAGGAAGAGGCAAUGCCUUUAAUAUGAGUCUACCUGGGGAAAGAGUAGAGUUCCCUGCCUCUAAAAUGAGUGUCUUUGGUGACCAUGACAUGAAGACAUGGAGGUGAGAUGAUACAUUUAAAAUGCAAGUGGAGCUAAAAUCUCUCUUCACUUGUUGAAAUGUCCCCCGUGUUUGUGGGUUGGUUUUAAAUAACAAUGUCAGCAGGUCAUGACCUGUCAUGCCCAUAUACGGGAUAGCAACACCU
rnacentral:lncRNA from 1 species